UACAGAGGUCUCAAGCGUUGUUCGGAUUCAUUGGGCGUAAAGAGCUCGUAGGCGGCUUGUUGCGUCGGCUGUGAAAACCCGUGGCUUAACUGCGGGCCUGCAGCCGAUACGGGCGGGCUGGAGUUCGGUAGGGGAGACUGGAAUUCCUGGUGUAGCGGUGAAAUGCGCAGAUAUCAGGAGGAACACCGGUGGCGAAGGCGGGUCUCUGGGCCGAUACUGACGCUGAGGAGCGAAAGCGUGGGGAGCGAACAGG
rnacentral:rRNA from 1 species